rnacentral:rRNA from 1 species
UGGGGAAUUUUGGACAAUGGGCGAAAGCCUGAUCCAGCCAUGCCGCGUGAGUGAAGAAGGCCUUCGGGUUGUAAAGCUCUUUCAGCCGGAAAGAAAUCGCGCAGGAUAAUACUCUGCGUGGAUGACGGUACCGGAAGAAGAAGCACCGGCUAACUACGUGCCAGCAGCCGCGGUAAUACGUAGGGUGCGAGCGUUAAUCGGAAUUACUGGGCGUAAAGCGUGCGCAGGCGGUUAUGUAAGACAGAUGUGAAAUCCCCGGGCUCAACCUGGGAACUGCGUUUGUGACUGCAUAACUAGAGUACGGCAGAGGGAGGUGGAAUUCCGCGUGUAGCAGUGAAAUGCGUAGAUAUGCGGAGGAACACCGAUGGCGAAGGCAGCCUCCUGGGCCAGUACUGACGCUCAUGCACGAAAGCGUGGGGAGCAAACA